AGCGGCUCAGAUUGAACGCUGGCGGGAUGCUUUACACAUGCAAGUCGAACGGCAGCACGGACUUCGGUCUGGUGGCGAGGUGCGAACGGGUGAGUAAUGUAUCGGAACGUGCCUAGUAGCGGGGAUAACUACGCGAAAGCGUAGCUAAUACUGCAUAUACUGGGGAAAGCGGGGGGACCUUCGGGCCUCGCACUAUUAGAGCGGCUGAGAUUGAUUAGCUAGUUGGUGGGUAACGGUCACUUAAGGCGACGAUCCGUAGCUGGUUUGAGAGGACACCAGCCACACGGGACUGGAGACACGGCCCAGACUCCGCUGGGAGGCAGUGGGGAAUUUUGGACAAUGGGGAAACCCCGGGAUCCAGCCAUCCCCGCGUGUGCGAUGAAGGGCCUUCGGGUUGUAAAGCACUUUUGGCAGGAGAAACGGUACGGAGGGUCACUCCCUGUGCAACUGACGGUACCUGCAGAAUAAGCGCAAAUUUCCGCCAACCAUGCCAGCAGCCGCGGUAAUACGUAGGGGUGCAAGCGUUAAUCGGAAUGAUUAGCGCAAAAGCGCGCAGGCGGUUCGGAAAGAAAGAUGUGAAAUCCCAGAGCUUAACUUUGAAACUGCAUUUUUAAAACUACCGAGCGAGUGUGUCAGAGGGAGGUGUGAAUUCCGCGUAGCAGUGAAAUGCGUAGAUGCGGAGGAGUUCACCGAUGGCGAAGGCAGCCUCCUGGGAUAACACUGACGCUCAUGCACGAAAGCGUGGGGAGCAAACAGGAUUAGAUGGCCCUGAGUCCACGCCCUAAACGAUGUCAAUUUCGUCUGCUGUUGGGGCCUUCUGGUGUACCGUAGUAGUGCAGCUAACGGCGUGAAGUUGACUUCCGCCUGGGAGUAGAUGGUCGCAAGAUUAAAAACUCAAAGGAAUUGAUUUAAAGACCGCACAAGCGGUGGAUGAUGUGAUUAAUUCGAUGCAACGCGAAAAACCUUACCUACCCUUGACAUGUCUGGAAUCCCGAAGAGAUUUGGGAGUGCUCGCAAGAGAACCGGAACACAGGUGCUGCAUGGUUGUCGUCAGCUCGUGUCGAGAUGUUGGGUUGGGUCCCGCACUGAGUGGCAACCUUGUCAUUAGUUGCUACGAAAGGGCACUCUAAUGAGAUCGUCGGUGACAAACCGGAGGAAGGUGGGGAUGACGUCAAGUCCUCAUGGCCCUUAUGGGUAGGGCUUCACACGUCAUACAAUGGUCGGGACAGAGGGUCGCCAAACCAGGGGAGCCAAUCCCAGAAACCCGGAUUCAGUCCGAUCGUAGUCUGCAACUCGACUGCAGAAGUCGGAAUCGCUAGUAAUCGCGGAUCAGCAUGUCGCGGUGAAUACGUUCCCGGGUCUUGUACACACCGCCCGUCACACCAUGAGUGGGUUUUACCAGAAGUAGUUAGCCUAACCGUAAGGAGGGCGAUUACCACGGUAGGAUUCAUGACUGGGGUGAAGUCGUAACAAGGUAG
rnacentral:rRNA from 1 species